rnacentral:rRNA from 1 species
CAGCAGCCGCGGGAAUACGAAGGGUGCAAGCGUUAAUCGGAAUUACUGGGCGUAAAGCGUGCGUAGGCGGUGAGUUAAGUCUGCUGUGAAAUCCCCGGGCUCAACCUGGGAAUGGCAGUGGAUACUGGCUCGCUAGAGUGUGUCAGAGGAUGGUGGAAUUCCCGGUGUAGCGGUGAAAUGCGUAGAGAUCGGGAGGAACGUCAGUGGCGAAGGCGGCCAUCUGGGACAACACUGACGCUGAGGCACGAAAGCGUGGGGAGCAAACAGGAUUAGAUACCCGCGUAGUCCCUGUCUCUUAUAC